UCUUAAAUAUAUAUAUAUUUAUAUAUAUAUAGGGGAGCUCGCAGGAAGUCCGGGGCUCCCUUGAAAAGAAAAAGCCCGCGCGAGCGAGCAAGCAAGCAAGAGAGAAAUCGCCGUCGCCCAAGCGCCCCCCGACCCAGCUGGGAAGCCUAAAUAGGGGGCCUUUCGCUCGGGGUUUGUUUGCAGCCGCCGAAUGACACGGGAUUAGGAGGCAUCUAUCAGACAAAUAUCUGUAAAGCUGGAGAGUUCAAUCAAGUCCUUGGUACCCUAGCCCUCCCCCACCUUGGUGAUGAAGCACAAUUUACUUCCAAUGACACUGCAUCUCCAGGUAUCUUUUCAAAUUCUUCAUAAAUGUAUAUAUAUAUAUUUUAUUUUCUAUGGGUGACACUUUUCCACUUGGUCGCAAGGGAAAGUGAGAGCAAUAACAACAUUACACAAAAGCACUGUACCGACGACGCCCUGUCUCUCUCUCCAAAAGACUCUCUUUCCCUUUCUCUCUCUCUCUCUCUGGUUUCAGGAACCUCUACAGUUAAUAAGUUAAAUAAAGGGUUUGUACAUAAAUAUUUGUCUAGGGACCCUAUGAUAUCUACAACACAGUAAGGAUCUACAGAAAUGACAAACUUGUACAAACACUACACGGAGUGCAAUUGUUAUAUAACAUUUCAAAUAUACAAAGCUCUGGGUUGCUGUGUUUCUUUUUUUUUUUGCUUUUUCUUAUUUUUUUUAAUAACAAUGGUAUGUACAGAGCAUCACAGUUUAGUGACUUCUUUUUUUUAAAACAGUCCAUAUUCUAGCACUGUUAUUUUUCCCUUUGGUUUGCUAUAAAACCCUUGGUUGGUGUGAUGAUAGGAGGACCCCUCCACACACAGACAAAAAAAGAAAAGAAAAGAAAGAAAAA